rnacentral:rRNA from 1 species
GACGAACCGUGCGAACGUUGUUCGGAAUCACUGGGCUUAAAGGGUGCGUAGGCGGGUUGUCCAGUCUGGGGUGAAAUCCCACGGCUCAACCGUGGAAUUGCCUCAGAUACUGACGACCUCGAGGGAGGUAGGGGCGAGCGGAACUGUGGGUGGAGCGGUGAAAUGCGUUGAUAUCCACAGGAACUCCGGUGGCGAAGGCGGCUCGCUGGACCUCUUCUGACGCUGAGGCUCGAAAGCUAGGGGAGAAAACCGG